rnacentral:rRNA from 1 species
AUACGGGGGGUGCAAGCGUUAUUCGGAUUUAUUGGGCGUAAAGGGCGCGUAGGCGGCUUGGAAAGUCAGAUGUGAAAGCCCGGGGCUCAACCCCGGAAGUGCAUUUGAAACUAUCAGGCUUGAGUAUGGGAGAGGGAAGUGGAAUUCCUGGUGUAGAGGUGAAUUUCGUAGAUAUCAGGAGGAACACCGGUGGCGAAGGCGACUUCCUGGACCAAUACUGACGCUGAGGCGCGAAGGCGUGGGGAGCAAACAGGAUUAGAAACCCCGGUAGUCC